CUACAAUGUUUGCUGAUAUUACUCUAUCCCUUAGAUGGGUGAUAGGUUAUAGGUAGGGCUAGUGAUAGGAAUUAUGUUCUGGUUACGGAGUUAUUGAGCAGUAGUACAGUCAGUGUAGGCAUUAGGGGAGUUAGGGUUAGAAUUAGGGUUUAGGGACAAUGAACAAUGACACAGCGUAAAGAAAAUUGUCACACUUCUAAACUGAUAGGCUCAUUAACUAAAAUGAAAAUUUCUAAUUAAU